rnacentral:lncRNA from 1 species
UACAAGCAAAGGGCUCCUGUAAGAGUUGAGGUGGUGAGGGACUAUGGUGAGGGUAAGCUGAUUACUAGGCCCUUAAGUCCCGGGAAACGGCGGGAGAGUUCAAGUCCUGUUCGGUAUCAUACUGAAGAGAAAUGGAAUAAGCCUUCUAGCCCCGUUCAGUAUGACGUCAAAGAGAAAUGGAAUAAGCCAUCGAGUCCUGUUCGGUAUCGUGUUGAAGAGAAAUGGAAUAAGCCUUCUAGCCCCGUUCAGUAUGACGUCGAAGAGAAAUGGAAUAAGCCAUCGAGUCCUGUUCGGUAUCGUGUCGAAGAGAAAUGGAAUAGGCCCUCUAGUCCUGUUCGGUACCAUGCCGAAGAGAAAUGGACGAACCGGCCUUCAAGUCCGGUUAAGGAACAUCCUCAACAAGUUAUGGAUUUUAUUAGCAAAGUUCAAACUCAAGCCAGC